AAGCUCCACAAAACUAGUGUUAUGCUGAUCCCAAAAAAACAAGGGGCAGACUCUCUUUAGGAUUUCAGGCCAAUCUGGCUACUUCAUAGUCUAAUCAAAAUAUUCUCCAAGAUUCUGGCAAGCCGGCUUGCGCCCAAGCUUGAUGGUUUGGUCGAUCAAUGUCAAAGGGCCUUUAUCAAGAAGUGUUGUAUACAGGAGAAUUUUCUGUACGUGCAUAACAUAGUGCGGAAACUGCACAAAUCGAAGAAACCAUCAAUACUACUAAAAUUGGACAUUGCCAAGGCCUUUGAUUCACUCUCGUGGUCUUACUUAAUGGAGAUGAUGGAGGCGAGAGGUUUUGGCAUGCGCCGGCGUGAAUGGAUUGCCAUGUUACUCAGGACCGCAACCUCCCGGGUGAUCAUAAACGGACAAUACUCGGAGGCAAUACAACAUCGGCAAGGGCUUAGACAAGGGGAUCCGAUUUCUCCUUUCCUUUUCAUUCUCGCCAUGGGCCCGUUGCAAAGAAUGAUGAAUCUGGCCACUGCUAGCGGUGUUCUCUCAAAGCUUCCAGGGCGGACACCGCUAAUGCGAUGCUUGUUCUAUGCCGAUGACGUGGCUUUGUUCAUGAACCCAAAGAAGAGUGUUGCCACAAUGAUCAAGUUGAUACUAUCGUGCUUUGCUCAAGCCUCGGGCCUUCACGUCAAUGCAACCAAGAGCUCGGCCCUCGCCAUCCGAUGCGGCUCACUCAACCUCGACGACAUUCUGGCACCUCUCGGCAUCCUCGCAAGAAUUUCCCAAUCACUUACCUUGGAAUGCCUCUAUCCCUGA
rnacentral:rRNA from 1 species